rnacentral:rRNA from 1 species
AUUGAACGCUGGCGGCAUGCUUUACACAUGCAAGUCGAACGGCAGCGCGGGCUUCGGCCUGGCGGCGAGUGGCGAACGGGUGAGUAAUACAUCGGAACGUGCCCAGUAGUGGGGGGUAGCUCGGCGAAAGCCGGAUUAAUACCGCAUACGACCUGAGGGUGAAAGCGGGGGAUCUUCGGACCUCGCUCUAUUGGAGCGGCCGAUGGCAGAUUAGCUAGUUGGUGGGGUAAAGGCCUACCAAGGCGACGAUCUGUAGCUGGUCUGAGAGGACGACCAGCCACACUGGGACUGAGACACGGCCCAGACUCCUACGGGAGGCAGCAGUGGGGAAUUUUGGACAAUGGGCGAAAGCCUGAUCCAGCAAUGCCGCGUGUGUGAUGAAGGCCUUCGGGUUGUAAAGCACUUUUGGCGGGAACGAAAAGGACUGUGCCAAUACCACGGUUCGAUGACGGUACCCGCAGAAUAAGCACCGGCUAACUACGUG